AACUUUUGGCAAUGGAUCUCUUGGCUCUCGCAUCGAUGAAGAACGCAGCGAAAUGCGUUAAGUAAUGUGAAUUUCAGAAUUCAGUGAAUCAUCGAAUCUUUGAACGCACCUUGCGCUCCUUGGUAUUCCGAGGAGCAUGCCUGUUUGAGUGUCAUUAAAUUCUCAACCUUUCCAUUAAUUUGGUUUGGCUUGGAUGUGGGGGUUGCAGGCUUCAUUUGACUAUGAGGUCAGCUCUCCUUAAAUGCAUUAGUGGAACUUUUGUUGACCAUCUAUUGGUGUGAUAUCUAUCUACACUGUGGAUGUGAAGCAGUGUUCAGCUUCUAACCGUCUAUUAUUGACUUUACUUGACCAUUUGACCUCAAAUCAGGUAGGACUACCCGCUGAACUUAAGCAUAUCAAUAAGCGGAGGCU
rnacentral:misc_RNA from 1 species